rnacentral:rRNA from 1 species
UAAGGGGGCUAUACUGGGAGUGCUCCACCCGUUCCCAUCCCGAACACGGAAGUGAAAUCUCCCAAGGCCGAUGGUAGUCCUUUGGGCGAGAGUAGGUAGCCCCCCUAC